rnacentral:rRNA from 1 species
AGUACACUCCUACCGGGAGGGCAGCAGUGAGGGAAAUAUUGGUCAAUGGGCGGGAGCCUGAACCAGCCAAGUCGCGUGAGGGAAGACGGUCCUAUGGAUUGUAAACCUCUUUUGUCGGGGAGCAAAGAGGCCACGUGUGGUCAAAAGCGAGAGUACCCGAAGAAAAAGCAUCGGCUAACUCCGUGCC